GGGACGGCCGUGUAGCAGUCGUAUGCGCACUGCUUGUGCUGGGCGCCGAUCUGGAGGCCCCUGAUCGGAAGGGACGCCACUGGAGUUGCUGCGGGAGAUGGUAGCGGUACACCCAGUGGCAAGGCACCAUAUGACAGACAAUUGUGGUCUGCAUUUUUUUAACCAAAAUAUUGAACAUGUUCUGAUUUUACCAGAAUACUGAUGUGGACAUUCAAGUUGCAAUAGUGGAGCUGGAUGUGCUGCUAUAGAUUGGUCCUUGCAGCUUAUGAAGGCAUCAACUAUUGGCGGCACAAAAUUGUGGAGCUUAAGAUUCCCCACCUUUAUUUCUGAAGGAAAGCUAAAGUUCGGGGUGCUAAUCUCCGAGGAUUUUCUCAAUGGUGAACAUUUUUCUUUUGUUUCUCUUGUUCUAAUCUAUACCUCAAGAUGCAAUAGUUCUUAUUGUACUGCUUGGAUUGCUCUCUCAUUGUAAUCAAUACUGUUAAUUAAUAUAUAAUAAUCAUAUAUUUUUCAUGCAGGAGGGUUUAUUUAACACUAACAAGCAUUUCAUGUUUUUAUAUGGUAAUAUGGUGAUAGGUUGGAAUGUUUGAUCACCCAGGAAUGUGGAUUACUAUCGCAGGAUAUUUUUCCUCUUGAUGGUGCUUCCACUGAAUGUUAUGCACCCCUGUACAACCAUAUAUCUAAGUUUGAAUGUUAUGCACCCCUGUACAACCAUAUAUCUAAGUUUGCAUGUUCAUUCAGAAGAUUAUAUUGACUAUUCAAUUCAGGGUUCAACCUUUGAAUAACACAGUUCUGGCUCAGUAGUUUGAGAUUCUAUUGUGCAACUGGAUCUUGAUAGACAUCUAGACCUAUAGCUGCGUUUUAUUUUCUUUAUCCCUUUUAGAAACUUACACGCUAACUUGGUGGAUUAAACCGGUGUUCUAAUUAAAUGAUAAAUGAGUAUAAGGAUUUUCUUUUUUUACUGUUAUAUGACAAAAUGAAUGAACAUGUGGUCGCUAUCCAGAUUAGUCAGGCCAUCUUGCAAAUAACUAUGGGAUACAUUACUGAUAUUUUCUUAGGAUGGCCAAAUAGACAUGCAUUCUUUGAUAGGUUAAGUUUUGUUAUUCUUUGUACUUAUUUGCUCAAUCUUUGUAGUGAAAUAGUGCAAGAUGAGGAACUGGCUCAACUUCAGAGUUUCAGUUAAGUGCACAGUUAAAGAAAAAUUAUAACAACUCGGAUGCAGCUCAGAGGUCAAAUAUCAUGAUGCAGAGUAGGCACUAAACCUAAUGUAUCUACUUGAUUUUGUUGUUGCAGAUUAAAUGGUUAUCUUAUCUGUACACAACUGAUUAGGCAGUAUAGCAGUACCCGCACGUUUUGUUUCAC
rnacentral:lncRNA from 1 species